rnacentral:rRNA from 1 species
UACGUAGGAGGCAAGCGUUGUCCGGAAUCAUUGGGCGUAAAGCGCGCGUAGGCGGCCCGGUAAGUCCGCUGUAAAAGUCCAGGGCUCAACCCUGGAAUGCCGGUGGAUACUGUCGGGCUAGAGUCCGGAAGAGGCGAGUGGAAUUCCUGGUGUAGCGGUGGAAUGCGCAGAUAUCAGGAGGAACACCGAUGGCGAAGGCAGCUCGCUGGGACGGUACUGACGCUGAGGCGCGAAAGCGUGGGGAGCGAACAGG